GAUGAAGAACGUAGUGAAAUGCGAUACGUAAUGUGAAUUGCAAAUUCAGUGAAUUAUCGAGUCUUUGAACGCACAUUGCGCCCCCUGGUAUUCCGGGGGGCAUGCCUGUCCGAGCGUCAUUGCUGCCCUCAAGCACGGCUUGUGUGUUGGGCCCCGUCCUCCGAUCCCGGGGGACGGGCCCGAAAGGCAGCGGCGGCACCGCGUCCGGUCCUCGAGCGUAUGGGGCUUUGUCACCCGCUCUGUAGGCCCGGCCGGCGCUUGCCGAUCAACCCAAAUUUUUUAUCCAGGUUGACCUCGGAUCAGGUAGGGAUACCCGCUGAACUUAAGCAUAUCAUAAGCGGAGGA
rnacentral:misc_RNA from 1 species